rnacentral:rRNA from 1 species
AGCGAACGCUGGCGGCAGGCUUAACACAUGCAAGUCGAACGCCCCGCAAGGGGAGUGGCAGACGGGUGAGUAACACGUGGGAACGUACCCUUUGGUUCGGAAUAACUUGGGGAAACUCAAGCUAAUACCGGAUAAGCCCUUAUGGGGAAAGGUUUACUGCCGAAGGAUCGGCCCGCGUCUGAUUAGCUAGUUGGCGAGGUAAUGGCUCACCAAGGCGACGAUCAGUAGCUGGUCUGAGAGGAUGAUCAGCCACACUGGGACUGAGACACAGCCCAGACUCCUACGGGAGGCAGCAGUGGGGAAUAUUGGACAAUGGGGGCAACCCUGAUCCAGCCAUGCCGCGUGAGUGAUGAAGGCCUUAGGGUUGUAAAGCUCUUUUACCCGGGACGAUAAUGACUGUACCGGGAGAAUAAGCCCCGGCUAACUACGUGCCAGCAGCCGCGGUAA